rnacentral:snoRNA from 1 species
AUCCCUGUGAAGAUUCUCAGACCAUAGGAAGUGCUGACAACAGCUGCUUCUCUCCACUUCAAAUGUCCUCCUUUGAGCAUAGCCUUUGUGGUUCCAUUUGCAGCUGGUUUGGUUCAGCUGUGUGCGUGAUUUUAAGCGGGUCUCCGAGAGAU